GAUGGACGCUAGCGGCGGGCUUAAUACAUGCAAGUCAAGGGGUAGCAAUACACCGGCGUACGGGUGCGUAACGCGUAUGGAACCUGCCCUUAUCUGGGGGAUAACUCGGGGAAACUCGAGCUAAUACCGCAUAAGAUAGUAGAGUGGCAUCACUCAGCUAUUAAAGAUUUAUCGGAUAAGGAUGGCCAUGCGUAAGAUUAGAUAGUUGGCGAGGUAACGGCUCACCAAGUCUACGAUCUUUAGGGGCUCUGAGAGGAGAAUCCCCCACACUGGCACUGAGAUACGGGCCAGACUCCUACGGGAGGCAGCAGUAGGGAAUAUUGGGCAAUGGGCGGAAGCCUGACCCAGCCACGCCGCGUGCAGGAAGACGGCCCUCUGGGUUGUAAACUGUUUUUAACUGGGAAGAAAGCAGCUCAUGCGUGAGAAUUUGACGGUACCAGUUGAAUAAGCCACGGCUAACUACGUGCCAGCAGCCGCGGUAAUACGUAGGUGGCGAGCGUUAUCCGGAUUUAUUGGGUUUAAAGGGAGCGUAGGCGGCUGAUUAAGUCGGCGGUGAAAGGUAGCAGCUUAACUGUUUUACAUGCCGUUGAUACUGGUUAGCUUGAGUUGACAGAAGGCAGAUAGAAUUCCUGAUGUAGCGGUGAAAUGCUUAGAUAUCAGGAGGAAUACCGAUUGCGAAGGCAGUCUGCU
rnacentral:rRNA from 1 species